CCCCUCUUAGGCUUGCACCUGAAGAGUUUCCAGUACUCUACCAGCCUCUACUAUGGGAGGGAGAGUCAAGCAGAGGCCUGUCCAUUCCAUUCCUGGCUUGGGCAGUGGCUAGUGAGUGGAAGGCAAUCUACUAGAAGU